UACGGGGGGGGCAAGCGUUGUUCGGAAUUACUGGGCGUAAAGGGCGCGUAGGCGGCUUUUCAAGUCGGUCGUGAAAUCUCCGGGCUUAACCUGGAAGGGUCGUUCGAUACUGUCGAGCUAGAGUGUGGAAGAGGCUACUGGAAUUCCGUGUGUAGCGGUGAAAUGCGUAGAUAUACGGAGGAACACCGGUGGCGAAGGCGGGUCUCUGGGCAACAACUGACGCUGAGGAGCGAAAGCGUGGGGAGCGAACAGG
rnacentral:rRNA from 1 species